UCCUGGUUAACCCAGGCAGUCUCAUUAGAGUUCCCACCUAAUAUGUUGGCAACUAAUGAUAAGGGUUGCGCUCGUUGCGGGACUUAACCCAACACCUCACGGCACGAGCUGACGACAGCCAUGCAGCACCUGUGCAGCAGUCCCGAAGGAAGAUGCCAUCUCUGGCACUGUCUACUGCAUGUCAAGUCUGGGUAAGGUUCUUCGCGUUGCAUCGAAUUAAACCACAUGCUCCACUGCUUGUGCGGGUCCCCGUCAAUUCUUUUGAGUUUUACCCUUGCGAGCGUACUCCUCAGGCGGUAUACUUAUCGCGUUAGCUUCGACACAACCGGGUUUAAGGCCAGUUACAUCAAGUAUACAUCGUUUACGGCAAGGACUAC
rnacentral:misc_RNA from 1 species